AACGAACGCUGGCGGCAUGCCUAACACAUGCAAGUCGUACGAGACCUUCGGGUCUAGUGGCGCACGGGUGCGUAACGCGUGGGAACCUGCCCUUAGGUUCGGAAUAACUCCCCGAAAGGGGUGCUAAUACCGGAUAAUGUCUUCGGACCAAAGAUUUAUCGCCUUUGGAUGGGCCCGCGUUGGAUUAGCUAGUUGGUAGGGUAAAAGCCUACCAAGGCGACGAUCCAUAGCUGGUCUGAGAGGAUGAUCAGCCACACUGGGACUGAGACACGGCCCAGACUCCUACGGGAGGCAGCAGUGGGGAAUAUUGGACAAUGGGCGAAAGCCUGAUCCAGCAAUGCCGCGUGAGUGAUGAAGGCCUUAGGGUUGUAAAGCUCUUUUACCCGGGAUGAUAAUGACAGUACCGGGAGAAUAAGCUCCGGCUAACUCCGU
rnacentral:rRNA from 1 species